rnacentral:SRP_RNA from 5 species
CUGUUGGUUCUCCCGCAACGCUACUCUGUUUACCAGGUCAGGUCCGGAAGGAAGCAGCCAAGGCAGAUGACGCGUGUGCCGGGAUGUAGCUGGCAGGGCC